ACUUAUCUCGGUCAGCUUCAAAAAAGACGAGCCCUCUCCAGGAAAUACAGAACGUACUGUAAUAACAUUUCGGAAUUGAAGUUCAGCCAAUGGGUAAUUGGAGGUAUCGUUGAGUUGCGGUUCUCAGACCACUGGCAGAAAGAACUGAAAAUUAAUGAUACGACAGUGGGAUAGCUCAAUGUCUAUGGGGUCUGAUGAAUAGUUUAAGCUGUUCAUCCAGCACCAUUUUGCAUCCAGAUGCUGCCAAGGCUACAUACUAAUUUCACUGUCUCAGCUGGUCAGUAGGAG